UAUCGUUUCUACUCAGCAUUUUGUCUCUGUCGCUUUAAACUGUAAGUGUUGCCCUUAAACCGUCUUUAUUUUUUUCUCCUAAUGUGACACUUUAUCAGUUUGACAAACAAAAAGGAAAAAUUACAGUCAGCAGUUUAUUCAUAGGAAGUAAGACAAUAAAUUAAUGGAUGGCCUCAGCUGAAAUUUCUAACUUCAAAGCUAUUUUUCUGCCCCGAAGUGUAACGUGCGUACUUUAUUCAGUUCAGAACUCCCUCUAUAAUUGUCUCAGUGAGAUUCAUCUAAUGACUUCUGUGAAUAUUACUGCUGACAGCUGCUGAAAGACCAAGCAGAAACAAUAACAAUAGCAGUAGUUGAUCGUAGGAAAAAGGCUCAGCUGAGGUUGCAAUGGGUUUGCGACCCAUGAGACCGGUAGUCAAGGUUUGUUUAACAUGCUACCUAAUUCCAAACUAUGACAGCUGUGAGUUUGAUGGUUACUUACAGGACUGCAAAUGGCAUGAACCUGAACACAAACGUGGGGUUUAAAAAGAAGCAGAAAAAAAUAGAACAGAAAACGUCUGCCCUUAGCUUUGUUAGAAAACAACAACCUGAAAAGACCUGGAAAAAAGGAUUAAAUCUAAAGUCCUUGACCAAAUCCAGACCUCACGUCACAGCACCAUGUGAGAUGCCAAAGAUAAAAUACAUUCAAGUAAAGUGACAGACAGCAAACCACACUGUCCAUAUGAAUGAAAAGAAAAGUGGAAAAAAAGAAAAAAAUGGGGGUGGAGAGUCAAAAGUUUAAGCAGCCAAAGAAGGAAGUGACCAGCAGGCAGAAACCGCCAAAGUAAAAUAGCCUAGGGCUAUACACGAAGGGGAAUUGUGAAACUAUGCUUGAAAACAAUGCUAGAUUGGCUAAAAGAAAGGACGGGAGACUCGAUAAGGUGGAGCACGCAGAGGAUGUCACACAGUGUAUGACCCAGGAGAAGAAAAGGUGAGUUCACAGAAACAAAGAGGUGGCGUCAGCGAGGCAGCAGAAUUAAAGUGGUAUAAGUGACAGCGAACCACUGUAGUGUGAAAGAGACGCAGCUCAAAAAUGCAGCGGAGAAGGGAGGAUCAGACAGAUCAGAAUCCAAGUGUCAAUAAACUACAAGUAAACAAAGAUUUAUUUGAUACUGACAAGAGUCUUUGAGGGAAAAGAAAAAUAGAAGCGACAGUGAAGAAAGCAGUUAUGACAGUAUUUUACAAGCACCUCUUUAAAUAUGCAGAGCAUCUCCACAAAGGAUCGGGCUGCUGUUUUCUUUUCUUUUUGUCAUUAACAAUGAUUCCCCUGUAAUUUUCUUUCCA
ensembl:lncRNA